rnacentral:rRNA from 1 species
GUGCAGCAAGGCGAGAAACUUCACACUGUGCGAAAGCACGAUGAGGGAAUCCCAAGUGCUUGCACGUAAGUGUAAGCUGUUUCUCUGUCUAAAACGCAGAGAGAGUAAGGGCUGGGUAAGACGGGUGCCAGCCGCCGCGGUAAUACCUGCAGCUCAAGUGGUGACCGUUAUUAUUGGGCCUAAAACGUCCGUAGCCGGUUUAAUAAAUGCCUGGGUAAAUUGUGUAGCUUAACUAUACGAAUUCCGGGUAGACUGUUAAACUUGAGACCGGGAGAAGUUAGAGGUACUCCUGGGGUAGAGGUGAAAUUCUGUAAUCCUAGGGGACCACCAGUGGCGAAGGCGUCUAACUAGAACGGGUCUGACGGUGAGGGACGAAGCCCUGGGGCGCAAACGGGAUUAGAUGCCCGGGUAGU